AAUAAAUUCAUUUUCAGACUGAAGACCUUUAGCAGAAAAUUAUACUUUAUUAACAUCUAUUGGUAAAGUUAUCUAAGAUGUACCAUCUCAUCCUUCACUCCAUGAGAAAAGAGAAGGACAGAAUUAAACAUGGGGACAGAUGAAGAAGUAAAGAAGAUGAAAAUGAGGAAGAUAAAAAACAAACUGAAGGUAAUUAAGCAAUUGCUGGAAGAAGGACUAGACGAAGGAAAAUUGAAUUGGAGACUAUUAUUCUAAGAGAUGUAACUCAGGAAUGGAAAACCAAACAUCGUGU
rnacentral:lncRNA from 10 species